ACGUAGGUGGCGAGCGUUAUCCGGAAUUACUGGGCGUAAAGCGCACGCAGGCGGUCUUUUGGGUCUGACGUGAAAGCUCCUGGCUUAACUGGGAGAGGUCGUUGGAAACUGGGAGACUUGAGGUAAUGAGAGGGGUGUGGAAUUCCCGGUGUAGUGGUGGAAUGCGUAGAGAUCGGGAGGAACACCAGUGGCGAAAGCGACUCUCUGGUUCAAUACUGACACUGAGAUGCGAAAGCGUGGGGAGCGAACGG
rnacentral:rRNA from 1 species